rnacentral:rRNA from 14 species
NNNNNNNNNNNNNNNNNNNNNNNNNNNNNNNNNNNNNNNNNNNNNNNNNNNNNNNNNNNNNNNNNNNNNGUUUUUAUAUUUUUUUUUGCCUCAAUUAUGUAUGAGUACCCGCUGAACUUAAGCAUAUCGUUAAGCGGAGGAAAAGAAACUAAAUAGGAUUUCCGUAGUAACUGCGAGUGAACUGGAAUUAGCCCAUCACGAAAUCUAUAUUACAUUCGUAAUAUCGAAAUGUCGUGUAUAGGUUUUAUUAUUAUUGAUAUAAUAUUAUUAAAUAAUUGUAUUUAAAUAUACAGCCACAGAAGGUGCCAGCCCUGUUGUUUAAUAAUAUUUAUCAAAUUUAUAAAACUUUAGAGUCGUGUUGCUUGGAAGUGCAGCGCAAAGUUGGUGAUAAACAUCAUCUAAGGCUAAAUAUUCCUAUGAAUCCGAUAGCGAACAAGUACUGUGAAGGAAAAUUGCAAAGUACUCCGGAGAGAGAGUUAAAGAGGACGUGAAACCGAUACGAUGGAAGCAUACAGAGCCAGUUGCACUAUUAUUAAUAUUUAUUAAUAAUUUUAAGCAUGGGUAUAUUGAUAUGAUAAUUAGUUAUUUAUUAAAGAGUGAUAAAAAUAUUUUAUUUUUGUUAACUUUAAUAAAAUAAUUAUAUUAUUAAUUAAUAUUUAUAUUAUCAAUUUAUUAAUAAUAUAAUAUUUUAUUAAUAUUAUAUAAGACACAUGUGUUAAAUAUAAUUUAUUAAUAAUUAUUAUAUUAUUAUAUAUUGAUAUUCCUAUGUAAUCCUGGUAUGCUGUAUGUCCCGUCUUGAAACACGGACCAAGGAGUGUAUUGCUAUGGCAAGUCAUUGAUAUUGUUAAUAUCAAAGGCGUAAUGAAAAUAAUUUUAAUCUCUGAUCUUUUGAUUUUAUUAUCAUUAGCGCAUGAGAAACGUAAAUAUAUGAUAUAAUCAUUUUUUGCAGUUAUAGCCAUAGUAGUGCGACCCGAAAGAUGGUGAACUAUACUAGUGCAGGGUGAAGUCAGAAGAAAUUCUGAUGGAAGCUCGAAGCGGUCCUGACGUGCAAAUCGGUCGUCUGACAUUAGUAUAGGGGCGAAAGACUAAUCGAACCAUCUAGUAGCUGGUUCCGGCCGAAGUUUCCCCCAGGAUAGCUGAAACUGAUAUACAGAUACAUCCGGUAAAGCUAAUGUUUAGAGGAAUAGGGAAUAAUAUAUUCUUUAUCUAUUUACAAACUAUAAAUGGGUGUGAUAUUAUGAUUGCUUAAUUGAAUCAUAAUUUCGAUUGUAUAGUUUCAAGUGGGCCAUUUUUGGUAAGCAGAACUGGCGACGUGGGAUGAACCAAAAGUAUUGUUAAAGUGCCUAAAUUUUUGCUCAUCAGACCCCAUAAAAAGUGUUGUUUGAUCCUGACAGCAGGGCGGUGGCCAUGGAAGUCGGAAUCCGCUAAGGAUCGUGUAACAACUCACCUGCCGAAUCAAGCAGCCUUGAAAAUGGAUGGCGCUUGAGCAAAAUACUUAGACAAUACCAUAUAUUUAUUUUUUUUUAAAAAAAAUAUAUGUGUAGGCUGGCGUGAUAAUAGCAUUGAAGGUUAUAAGCGUAAGCUUGACUGGAGCUGUUAUUAGUGCAGAUCUUGGUGAUAGUAGCAAAUACACAAGUGAGAAUCUUGUGGACCGAAGUGGAAAAGGGUUUCACGUCAACAUCAUUUGACUGUGAGUUAGUCGGUCCUAAGCUAAAAUUGAAAAAUUUUUAUUCAUAUAUAGCGAAAGGGAAAUAGAUUAAUAUUUCUAUACUAUCUAUGGAGAUAAUAUAGGAUAAUAACUAUAUUAUGCAUGGUAACAUAAAUGAAAUUAACUACAAUAUAACAAGUUUUGGGUAGAGAUAUCUUCUCUAUUUAAGUUAUUAAAUCUAUGGAAAUUGCUCAGCAAGAGAUAUAGAUGAAAUUUUAACGUAGAGUACUAACAUUUUGUUGGUAUCCAAAGUGCUUGUUAUAUUACUUAAAAAGUUAAUGGAAGCAUAAUAAAUUUCAUAGAAUAACCGUACCCAUAUCCGCAACAGGUUUCCAAGAUGUUUAGUCUCUGGUCGAUGAAAUAAUGUAGGUAAGGGAAGUCGGCAAAAUAGAUUCGUAACUUUGGGAAAAGAAUUGGCUCUUGAGAUGUAGAUAUUCGGGUAUCAUGUAUUCAAUGGUUAUUUAAUUAAUAUAAAAUGAAUACUAGUAAUAGUUAUUUGAUUUAUAUUUAUUGAUAAUCAUUAACAUAAUACUUACAAAUAUUUGAAAUAUAAUAUUUUAACGAAUAUCAUUUUAUAUACAUUAAUCAAGAACUGGCACGGACAAGAGGAAUCCGACUGUCUAAUUAAAACAGAGGAGACAGAUGAUGCUAGAUGCAUGUAGACUGUGUCUGAUUUCUGCCCAGUGCAAUGAAUGUUAUCAUUGGGAAACCAAUUGAAGCUCUUGUAAACGGCGGGAGUAACUAUGACUCUCUUAAGGUAGCCAAAUGCCUCGUCGGGUAAUUUCCGACGCGCACGAAUGGAUUAACGAGAUUCCUACUGUCCCUAUCUACCAUUCAGCGAAAUCACAGCCAAGGGAACGGGCUUGGCAAAAACAGCGGGGAAAGAAGACCCUGUUGAGCUUGACUCUAGCUAGGCAUUGUGAAGUGUCAUAUGAGGUGUAGCAUAGGUGGGAGUUAUUUUAUAACGAUCUUGAAAUACCACUACUUAUAUUGAUAUUUUACUUAGUUGAUUAAAUGGAAAUUUUAUAUAUUAAUUUAUAUAAUAAUUUUUGUAUUAAAUUAAUAUCUUUGAGAUAUUUAAUAAUCCACGUCAAUGACCAUGUCUGGCGGGGAGUUUGACUGGGGCGGUACAUCUAUCAAACUGUAACGUAGGUGUCCUAAGGCAAACUCAAAGAGGACAGAAACCUCUUGUAGAGUAAAAGGGCAAAAGUUUGCUUGAUCAUGAUUUUCAGUACGAAUACAGACCCUGAAAGGGUGGCCUAUCGAUCCUUUUGUAUUAGUAUGUUUCUAAAAAGAGGUGCCAGAAAAGUUACCACAGGGAUAACUGGCUUGUGGCAGCCAAGAGUCCAUAUCGACGUUGCUUUUUGACGUGGAUUAUUAAAUAUCUCAAAGAUAUUAAUUUAAUACAAAAAUUAUUAUAUAAAUUAAUAUAUAAAAUUUCCAUUUAAUCAACUAAGUAAAAUAUCAAUAUAAGUAGUGGUAUUUCAAGAUCGUUAUAAAAUAACUCCCACCUAUGCUACACCUCAUAUGACACUUCACAAUGCCUAGCUAGAGUCAAGCUCAACAGGGUCUUCUUUCCCCGCUGUUUUUGCCAAGCCCGUUCCCUUGGCUGUGAUUUCGCUGAAUGGUAGAUAGGGACAGUAGGAAUCUCGUUAAUCCAUUCGUGCGCGUCGGAAAUUACCCGACGAGGCAUUUGGCUACCUUAAGAGAGUCACAGCGUUGCUAGAGCCAUCAGAUAUGCCUCAUGCGACUCAGCAAACACCGUGCUAUUUUUAUUUUAUUAUCUACAUUAAAUAAUAAUACAAUUAAGGAGAAUAAAAAUAACAUUGGUGUACUGCUGAAGUCGAGUAUAACUCGGCUCUAGGAUGCUUCUGCACAUCAGGAUUCAAGAUGCACGAAGUUACGCCCAACUCAUCAGCAGUACAACAAUGUCUAACAAUAAAAUCACUAUUUAAAUAUAUUUAUUUAAAAUUUUUCUUCUUUGAAGCUGAGUCAUGGCUCCAAAUCCCUUAGACAUUAUAUCUAUUUAUACAGACCUAUUAUACUCACCUUGUUGCUGACUUGCAUAUUGGGAGCAUCUUGGUUGUGUGUGUUUUAACACACUAUGGCGGGAUAAGCCAAAAUGCUUUAAGUUUUGUUUUCCACUCCAAGAUACCAAUCCUGUCGUUUGAACAUAACUCUAUCCAGUCUUAAGGUGGUAUCCCUGUUUCACCAAGUUGAUGACGUAGUCAACUACCUCAACAUACAUGCUGUAUGGUUAUUCUUCCAUACGUGUGACCAGAUUACUCAUCUUAUCUGCUAAUUCAUCUGACAUGUACUGAGGCUCUCGCUUCAGAACUUCUUCUCUCAUUUCAUCGAGUUUUGCCAGAAUGGAUUCUCUCCUAUUCUGCACGAUUACCUGAGAUAGGUCAUUCUUCACCGAGAUAAGGAGCUUUGUAAGCUCCUCGUUAGACCACUCUGCACCAUGUUUUAGAGCUAAUAUGCCCGUUUCCAGAGCAUCUGUUACAGUAUUAACACGUGCACAUAUGUUGGACGUCACUUUUCUCGCACCACUCAGCCAUUUAAUGGUGGCUGGAGAAAUUUUGCUAAAGCUUUGUUGCUUAUAGCGCUCUAAAACCGCGACGUUAUCCUUGAACGCAACUUCAAUGAAUAACUCCUUAUUUAUUUUCCAUACUUGUUUGCCGUCCGGAGUAGGCAUGCCUAGUUCCAUUCUGCAUUGGGUGGUUGAAGUUUCCAGCUUCUCCCCAAGUACUAUCGGUCCAUAAAUAAAGCGCUGGGGUAGUUUAUAGAGCACUUUGGCUCCUACAACCUUCAACCCCUCUUGGCUACUUCCAGAUCUGACCUUUUUAAUUGUCUUCACUGGUCCCCCUUUGGAUUUUGUGGUUUUGGUGCCACUUACUUGUUGUUGCUUCUUAGCUACAACCUUGUUUUGCUUUCCAGUGUUUCCUUGUCUAGCCAUUUUAGAAUUAAAAUAUCUGCCUAUGACAACUUAUUACUUAACGUAAUCUUGAGAAUAUGCUUCUGAAAUUAAAUCGAUUAUUAUAGUUCAAGAAAUACGAAAUAAUACAAAAGCUCGGACAACACGCGGGGUUAGGGUAGGGAUCAGUAAUGUUGUUUCUUUAAGUUUAAUACUUUUAUGUUAAAGGUAUUAGCUUAGAAACAUUGAUAAGGUUUGGCUGAAGUUAAAUGUAACUACUAUUCAAACGUUUUGUACGUACCAAUUUAUCCUUAUGCUUAUUACAGAUCCGUAGCACAGGUGUAUUAUUGGGAUAGUAAUAUCACCUGGAUUUUAUUUGCUACGUCUUUUUCUUUGGGAUUUUCCAUGCUGGCUUAUCUGCCUUCAUCUGCAUGUUACCUUCCUUUGCUAUUUCCUUCGGAGGGACUGCGGGAAAAUACCUCUUUCGGACUUGCACGGUUAGUUGUAUGUUAUAAGUCUAAGUAUCGUAAUUUAUUCGCUAUAAUAGAGUUCCUCACAACGAGGCCGCGGGAGUAACUAUGACAAUAUUUAUUCACGAACGCGACCCUAUUAUACCGUCUAAACUUCCUUUACUUAUCCUUGUAACAUACUUAACCAAUACCUUACUGUGUAAGCUGUAUUCACGACAGCAGUUCUGCUUGCAUUCUCUGUCAUGGCCUUGAUGUGUUGCUUCCUCAUCAACACUUCUAGUGGUUUCAUGAGGUCUUCCAUAAAACCUGGACUUAUUUCACCAUAUGCGCCCAUUAUAAAAGGUAUAAAACUAAUUUGAUAGUCUUUACCGUACUUCUUUUUGAAGUGAUCGUUCAUAUUAUAUGCCCUAUUUACUAUUUGAUAAUUAUCAGGGCCGAUCACUUCUUGCGAGUUCACCAUAUACCUUACUCGCUUUAUUUCAACUUGCUGUUGAAGAAGCCAUGGGUUGCCAACUACUGCUACUUCUAGCAGUAUUACCUUUUUCAACUUAUGGUUAACCAGGACUAAGUCAGGUCUAUUAUGAGCUAUCUUCUUAACUGAUCUUCUGCGAUCAUCUAAGGGUUCGAAGACUUGUUCAUAUUGUUCUCUAGCCUGUCCGACUUCCAUAAGUUGAGGUAAAUCGAAACCGAUUGACCAGUCUUUACCAAUCAUGUUGCACUCUUUCAAGUUUCUCAAUUCGCAUAACGGCAUAUAUUUUGUACCUAUUGCCUUUAAUAUGCUAUUUGUAACCGAUGCUAAUAUUGCAUCAUGCCUGGUUAUAUACUUGAUUCGUGCAUGAUUACUCUCACAGCCGCUUAGUAUAUGGCUGGUUGUGAGCUCUUUUUGGCAUAAAGGACAUUUUUUAAUAAUGUUAUUCCUUUUAUUUAUGUGCCAAUUCAAUCCUGGUAAAGACUGUUGUUGUGAUGCUGUAAUGAGAUUCGCUUGUAAGUCCGAUAUCGCGGCUUUUUUAAGCCAUGGCAUCUUUAGAUUAAGGCUAUCGUAUGCCUUAGCGAAUUCAAUCUUUUUGAUCCACUUAUCAUAGUAUCUCUGGUUAAGAAUGUCUUUUAUCUUACCACUUAUGAUUUUUGUGAACUCAUUUACAUCAUCAUGAUACACACCUUCUAUGGUAAUUCCUGACUUUCCUAAUGAAUGUUCAAUAUUGAACUUUUUCAUUAGUGUUGUGAACUGCCUUAUUGGAGUGGACUUUCCUCCUUUAAGUUCAUGCUGUAUGCUUAAUCCUUUAAUCACUUCGUUUAUAGGAUUAAUCCAGAGGUUCGCCAUGUGUCUUACUAUGGCUUCAUAAGCUACGCUUUCUAGUGAUCUUAAGCCUAGACCACCUUUCUCUGGUGUGCAAUACAGUCUUGCGAUAGAAGUUGUCUGUUGCCUUACUUCUAUUUGUUCACUGUCAGUUAUAUUACCUGCAAGGAUCUUUAUCACUAGCUUGUCUAGUCUUUUACACAAGCUAGGUAGUAUUCCUUGCUUGACCGCCGGUAGUGCAUGUGCUACUGCAUACCCGAUUGCAGGUGCUAUUGAAGAGUUAAACCAUUUUAUUUUUUGGCCUAUAUUUAAUUUGGUUUUAAACACUUGGCAUACGCUGCCUAGUAUUUUCUUUUCCAAACUCUUUUCUAGCGUUUCUACACAUAUGCUUCUACCUAACUCAGGUAUACCUAAGUAUUUGUAGCAGUCUGUCAAUUCACUAAUGUCUUCUAACAUUACGUUAUCUGACUUAUUGUUGUAUAGGACUCCACAUUUCUUUGCGUUUACGUGAAGACCUAGCUGAAGGGCAACCGAUUCAAAAAUGCCUUUGAGUCUUUUGAUUGU